UCAAAAUUUUGUUUUUGGCUUUUAUUAAAAUUAUAUAAAUGCUUUUUUGUAAAAAGUAUCGUUGAAAUCGAAUUAGUAGUUUCGGAGCAAAUCGGAUUGAAGAAAAAAAAAAACCGUUCAAUGGCCUGCAGACCAUGUCUUAAAACUUACAUUGGAAUUUUUUAACAAUAUCGUUGGAGCCAUUUUUGAACAAAUUCAACUUUACUAACAUCGAUAAAUGAUAGGUACCGUUAUUUUUGGUCAAAAAAAAAAUAAUUCCAAAAAACCCUCUGGCUGUAGCUUUGUAUACAGACGGACUUCCGGGACCCACUUUUUUGGCAUUCUCUAUCAUCGUGAUGUCAUGAAAAAUGUUAUCUGAACUUUUUUUUUGUACGAAUGCAUAACUUAAU